rnacentral:rRNA from 1 species
GCUGGCGGCAGGCCUAACACAUGCAAGUCGAGCGCACCUUCGGGUGAGCGGCGGACGGGUUAGUAACGCGUGGGAACGUACCCUUUUCUACGGAAUAGCCUUUGGAAACGAAGAGUAAUACCGUAUACGCCCUUUGGGGGAAAGGUUUAUCGGAGAAGGAUCGGCCCGCGUUAGAUUAGAUAGUUGGUGGGGUAACGGCCUACCAAGUCUACGAUCUAUAGCUGGUUUUAGAGGAUGAUCAGCAACACUGGGACUGAGACACGGCCCAGACUCCUACGGGAGGCAGCAGUGGGGAAUCUUAGACAAUGGGCGCAAGCCUGAUCUAGCCAUGCCGCGUGAGUGAUGAAGGCCUUAGGGUCGUAAAGCUCUUUCGCCUGUGAUGAUAAUGACAGUAGCAGGUAAAGAAACCCCGGCUAACUCCGUGCCAGCAGCCGCGGUAAUACGGAGGGGGUUAGCGUUGUUCGGAAUUACUGGGCGUAAAGCGCACGUAGGCGGAUUGGAAAGUUGGGGGUGAAAUCCCGGGGCUCAACCCCGGAACUGCCUCCCAAACUAUCAGUCUAGAGUUCGAGAGAGGUGAGUGGAAUUCCCAGUGUAGAGGUGAAAUUCGUAGAUAUUUGGGAGGACGCCAGUGGCGAAGGCGGCUCACUGGCUCGAUACUGACGCUGAGGUGCGAAAGUGUGGGAAGCAACCAGGAUUAGAUACCCUGGUAGUCCAC